ACUACAUUUUCUCUUUCGUUCCUUCCAGGAAUACGAUAAAAUUAAACCCAAAACGAAACUUAAUCUGGACGAAACACCGCAAUUUCAAAAGGUAAAGAAACUUUUAGAAGAGAAAAAAGC